GAGGAAUAUUGGUCAAUGGGCGAGAGCCUGAACCAGCCAUCCCGCGUGCAGGAUGACGGCCCUAUGGGUUGUAAACUGCUUUUGUGCGAGAAUAAUAUGCCUUACGUGUAGGGUAUUGAAGGUAUCGUACGAAUAAGCAUCGGCUAACUCCGUGCCAGCAGCCGCGGUAAUACGGAGGAUGCAAGCGUUAUCCGGAUUCAUUGGGUUUAAAGGGUGCGCAGGCGGGUUUGUAAGUCAGUGGUGAAAUACUGCCGCUUAACGGUAGGAUUGCCAUUGAUACUGCAAAUCUUGAGUAUGGUUGAGGUAGGCGGAAUGUGCAGUGUAGCGGUGAAAUGCAUAGAUAUUGUACAGAACGCCGAUUGCGAAGGCAGCUUACUAAGCCAUUACUGACGCUGAGGCACGAAAGCGUGGGGAUCGAAC
rnacentral:rRNA from 1 species